rnacentral:rRNA from 1 species
ACGCUCGACACCUACGGGAGGGCAGCAGUAGGGAAUCUUCCACAAUGGGCGCAAGCCUGAUGGAGCAACACCGCGUGAGUGAAGAAGGGUUUCGGCUCGUAAAGCUCUGUUGUUGGAGAAGAACGUGCGUGAGAGUAACUGUUCACGCAGUGACGGUAUCCAACCAGAAAGUCACGGCUAACUACGUGCAGCAGCCGCGGUAAUCUGAGCGGGCUGGCAAGGC